rnacentral:rRNA from 1 species
UACGUAGGGGGCAAGCGUUGUCCGGAUUUAUUGGGCGUAAAGAGCUCGUGGGCGGUUCGACAAGUCGGGUGUGAAAACUCCGGGCUCAACCCGGAGACGCCACCCGAUACUGUCGUGACUGGAGUCCGGUAGGGGAGUGGGGAAUUCCUGGUGUAGCGGUGAAAUGCGCAGAUAUCAGGAGGAACACCGGUGGCGAAGGCGCCACUCUGGGCCGGUACUGACGCUGAGGAGCGAAAGCGUGGGUAGCAAACAGG